CGUACUCCAACCUCGGCCCACAGGUAGGGAUACGCCCGGACGAAGUCGGAUUAAUACCCUAUGUUUUCCCCUGAGAGCAUUUGACGGGGAACAAAGAUUCAUCGCUAUGGGAUGGGGAUGCGUCCGAUUAGCUUGACGGCGGGGUAACGGCCCACCGUGGCUUCGAUCGGUAGGGGUUCUGAGAGGAAGGUCCCCCACAUUGGAACUGAGACACGGUCCAAACUCCUACGGGAGGCAGCAGUGAGGAAUAUUGGUCAAUGGGCGUAAGCCUGAACCAGCCAAAAGUAGCGUGCAGGAUGACCGGCCCUACGGGUUGUAAACUGUCUUUUGCCGGGGAAUAAAGUUCGGGACGCGUCCCGUUUUGUAUGUACCCGGAGAAUAAGGACCGGCUAAUUCCGUGCCAGCAGCAGC
rnacentral:rRNA from 1 species